rnacentral:rRNA from 1 species
GACGAACGCUGGCGGCGUGCCUAAUACAUGCAAGUCGAGCGCAGGAAGUCAUCCGAACCCUUCGGGGGGACGUUGACGGAAUGAGCGGCGGACGGGUGAGUAACACGUAAAGAACCUGCCCUCAGGUCUGGGAUAACCACGAGAAAUCGGGGCUAAUACCGGAUGGGUCAUCGGACCGCAUGGUCCGAGGAUGAAAGGCGCUCCGGCGUCGCCUGGGGAUGGCUUUGCGGUGCAUUAGCUAGUUGGUGGGGUAAUGGCCCACCAAGGCGACGAUGCAUAGCCGACCUGAGAGGGUGAUCGGCCACACUGGGACUGAGACACGGCCCAGACUCCUACGGGAGGCAGCAGUAGGGAAUCUUCCACAAUGGACGAAAGUCUGAUGGAGCAACGCCGCGUGAACGAUGAAGGCCCUCGGGUCGUAAAGCUCUGUUGUAAGGGAAGAACAAGUGCCGCAGGCAAUGGCGGCACCUUGACGGUACCUUGCGAGAAAGCCACGGCUAACUACGUG